rnacentral:lncRNA from 1 species
UAUCUCUACAUAAAUACAAGUAGUUACGUAAGCUGCCUAGUUGAACACCAUUCCUUCAAGCAUCCCUAUUGCUACAUACAAUAACCAUUUAGAUAUAUAUAUAUAGGGUGUCGAUACAAUCCUAACCGCCUCACCACAAAACGAAACCAUUCCUCAAAUUUUGGUAAAAUUACCUCAGUAGUCCACCAACCUUGGCUCCUUUGAAAGGAUGACAUACCUCUCUUGAAAAAUCUUCCUAAGCUAAAAUCGCUUGGUUCAUCGGUCCCUACCGCAAUCUCU